rnacentral:ncRNA from 1 species
UCUCCUCCCAAAGUGUAACGGAGGAGUUCGAAGGUACGCUUAGUACGGUCGGACAUCGUACCUAAAGUGCAAUGGCAAAAGCGUGCUUAACUGCGAGACCGACAAGUCGAGCAGGUGCGAAAGCAGGACAUAGUGAUCCGGGUGGUUCUGUAUGGAAGGGCCAUCGCUCAACGGAUAAAAGGUACUCUGGGGAUAACAGGCUGAUACCGGCCCAAGAGUUCAUAUCGACGGCGGUGUUUGGCACCUCGAUGUCGGCUCAUCUCAUCCUGGGGCUGUAGCCGGUCCCAAGGGUAUGGCUGUUCGCCAUUUAAAGAGGUACGUGAGCUGGGUUUAAAACGUCGUGAGACAGUUUGGUCCCUAUCUGCCGUGGGCGUUGGAAUCUUGACGGGGGCUGCUCCUAGUACGAGAGGACCGGAGUGGACGUACCGCUGGUGUACCUGUUGUCUCGCCAGAGGCAUCGCAGGGUAGCUAUGUACGGAAGAGAUAACCGCUGAAAGCAUCUAAGCGGGAAACUUGCCUGAAGAUGAGGAUUCCCUGGAGACUUGAUCUCCCUGAAGGGUCGUUCGAGACCAGGACGUUGAUAGGCUGGGUGUGGAAGCGCAGUAAUGCGUUCAGCUAACCAGUACUAAUUGCCCGUGCGGCUUGAUCCU